GGGCCUAUUGAAUUUAUUUAAAUUGACUGAUUUUGUUAUAUGAACUGUAACUCAGUAAAAUUGUUGAAAUUGUUGCGUUUAUAUUUUUGUUCAGUAUAAAUGGAGAUUCUUGGAUUUACAUACAGAAUAAUAGAAAAAGCUCUGAGACCAGGCUGGAUGCUUAGGUGCCACUUUUUUUCUUCCUAAUGAUCUCUCUCUGCCAUACAAUUUAUGAUGUGAGAGAGUUUCCAAAUUGUAGGCUCUGCAAUGCUUUUUAAAAGCUGUCCUGUUUCUGCCCCCACUUCCUUGAGGUAAAGAAUACAUUGCUGUCAGUUGCAUGGAUAUAUUAUUGCCUGCAUUCACAUGCACACAUUUAUGUGAAAGACGAAUCUGUUUUGGUGAGCUACCGAGUCAAUUUCCAAAAGGCAAGUUGUUUAAAACAUUUUUGUUGUGCUAUUCUUAGGUUUAUCUGUCAAGACAGUUUAUUCAUAAAGCGCUCACACCUGUGUCUGGUGCACAUUGUCCCAAACUUCACUGUAGUUGCUCACUGUAUCUAGCUAACAUGGACUUGCUAUCUAGCUAGCGUGGAUUAGCUAGCUAGCCAUUUGAUGUAUGACAUUUUUUGGCCUGAUAAGCAAACAAUGCCAAAGACCUAACUAGCUAGUCAAACUUUGAGGGAACAGUUGUUCGGCAAAGUUGGGACCAGCGUUGCCUAACAGUUACAUUUGAGUCAGGUUUAAGUUUCACCACUCAAAGAGUAUGUUUACAUACACACUAAUAAUUGAAUAUUCAACGGCAGUAGGCUGAGUAUGACAUUAGUCAUGUAAACACCUUACUCUGUUUAUCUUAAAUCGGCGAACGGUCAUAAUCGAAGUAAGCAUAGUCCGAUUAAAACCCCUGGUUUUCUGAGCUAUCUUUCAAAUUAUUAGACCAUGUAUACACCUUUAUCGGAUUUCCUCUAGUGUCUUUAAUCUGCGCAUGUGUCAAAUGUGAUUGAUUCGUCACACUAAACCCGCCACUCCAGCACGAAGUGAUCGCGUGCGUUGAUGUUCUUUGGAUAUGGUGGCGAGUGACAAAAGUCAACACUUUUGGAGCGAAAACAAAAUUCUGUUCAUGUUAAAUAUCAUAAAGGAAAUGGACAUUCUUACGUUUUUAGACGGGCGUAAACACCGGAAGGGCGACAUCUUCAAUAAAGUCUCGGCUAAAAUGAGAGGCUUCGUCAGGACAGUGGAACAAAUUAGCUUUCAUUGGAAGUCAUUAAAACAGGGUUUCUUCAAAGCUAAGAAGCAAAAGAACACCAGUGAAUCCAAUCCAGUGAAAUGUUCACUGAGAUGUUGGGGCAUCGACCACUGUCAACAACAGAGAAGGGUUAGACAUCGGCUUUGAGGAUCAAACCAUUGAAGUCCUUUAUUUAAAGGGAAAGAACAAGCUGAUCCUAACUGUUAUAGGCCUAUUUCUGUUUUCUCUGUUUAUCAAAAGUGUUGGAAAAACUUGUAAAUAAUCAACUGACUGGCUUUCUUGAUGUCUAUAGUAUUCUCUCUGGUAUGCAAUCUGGUUUCCGCUCAGGUUAUGGAUGUGUCACUGCAACCUUAAAGGUCCUCAAUGAUGUCACCAUUUCCCUUGAUUCUAAGCAAUGUUGUGCUGCUAUUUUUAUUGACUUUGCCAAAGCUUUGAGACGGUAGACCAUUCCAUUCUUGUGGGCCGGCUAAGGAGUAUUGGUGUCACUGAGGGCUCUUUGACUUUGUUUGCAAACUACCUCUCUCAAAGAGUGUAGUGUAUACUGUCAGAAUAUCUGCUGUCUCAGCCACUGCCUGUCACCAAGGGUGCACCCCAAGGCUCGAUCCUAAGCCCCACGCUCUUCUCAAUUUACAUCAACAACAUAGCGCAGGCAGUAGGAAACUCUCUCAUCCAUUUAUAUGCAGAUGAUACAGACUUAUACUCAGCUGGCCCCUCCCCGGAUGUUGUGGUAAAAAUGCUUUACAACAAAGAUUUUUUAGUGUCCAACAAGCUUUCUCUGCCCUUAACCUUGUUCUGAACACCUCCAAAACAAAGGUCAUGUGGUUUGGUAAGAAGAAUGCCCCUCUCCCCGCAGGUGUGAUUACUACCUCUGAGGGUUUAGAGCUUGAGGUAGUCACCUCAUACGAGUACUUGGGAGUAUGGCUAGACGGUACACUGUCCUUCUCUCAGCACAUAUCAAAGCUGCAGGCUAAAGUUAAAUCUAGACUUUGUUUCCUCUAUCGUAAUCGCUCCUCUUUCACCCCAGCUGCCAAACUAACCCUGAUUCAGAUGACCAUCCUACCCAUGCUAGAUUACAGAGACGUAAUUUAUAGAUUGGCAGGUAAGGGUGCUCUCGAGCGGCUAGAUAUUCUUUACCAUUCGGCCAUCAGAUUUGCCACCAAUACUCCUUAUAGGACACAUCACUGCACUGUAUACUCUUCUGUAAACUGGUCAUCUCUCUAUACCUGUCACAAGACCCAUUGGUUGAUGCUUAUUUAUAAAACUCUCUUAGGCCUCACUCCCCCCUAUCUGAGAUAUAUGCUGCAGCCCUCAUCCUCCACAUACAAAACCCGUUCUGCCAGUCACAUUCUGUUAAAGGUCCCCAAAGCACACACAUCCCUAGGUCGCUCGUUCGCUGCAGCUAGCGACUGGAACGAGCAGUAACAAACACUCAAACUGGACAGUUUUAUCUCAAUUUCUUCAUUCGGAGACUCAAUCAUGGACACUCUUACUGACAGUUGUGGCUACUUUGCGUGAUGUAUUGUUGUCUCUACCUUCUUGCCCUUUGUGCUGUUGUCUGUGCCCAAUAAUGUUUGUACCAUGUUUUGUGCUCCUACCAUGUUGUGCUGCUGCCAUGUUGUGUUGCUACCAUGUUGUUGUCAUGUGUUGCUGCCAUGCUAUGUUGUUGUCUUAGGUCUCUCUUUACGUAGUGUUGUGUUGUCUCUCUUGUCGUGAUGUGAUUUGUGUGUUUUGUCCUAUAUUUUUAUUUAAUUUAUUUUUAAUCGCGGCCCCCAUCUGCCCAGUAGGCCAUUUGCCUUUUGGUAGGCCGUCAUUGUAAAUAAUAAUUUGUUCUUAACUGACUUGCCAAGUUAAAUAAAGGUUAAAUAAAAUAAAAGUAAAUGAGGACGUGCCGCCGGAUGAGACACCAUCAAUACCCUCAGAGAAACAGGUGAUUCAACAGGUGAUUCCGAUUAAUCUGUGAUUGAUCAAGGACGGGAGUCAGAGAGGCCUGCCAAAACAACAUCACAGCCAGAUACACAUGUGUCAAGUGUGACGUCAAAGAGAAGAAGAGGUAACUCGGCAAUGGCUAACUGGUCUUCUCAACACCAGACCUUUUUGGAGAGAAUGGCAGCAAAAAAAAACAUAUGGCUGGAGGUGCAGAUAGUGCAGAGCCAGGUGAGGGAGGAGUGGCUCAUCUCUUUGAUUGUGGAGUCCAAUGCACAUACCACAGAGCAGGUGGUGCCUCUGUUGCUUGAAGGCUUCCGAAGCAUCCAGCCACCACCACCACCCCAGCCAAUGUUUGUCCCAUCUCCCUAUCAAGGAUACCACACACCUCCCCAAAACUACCAAAUGCAUGCCAAUCCUGCCUCAAGCACAGCUUUCUUUGACCAACCAGCUGACGAAGAAGAAACAAAAUACUUCCAAGAGUUAGUUCCAAGAUGUAGUUCCUAACAUGUUGUUGCUCAGUUCAGUUUAGGGGCUAAUAGUUGACAGUUUAUCUAUGGCUCUGAAGUCCACGAGCAAGUCCCUAAAAGUUUAUUUCUGUUGAACUGGUGUGAUGGAAAUGUUUAUCUUUGUGUUUUUCUAAUAACCAAUUUCUGUGUUCAUGCAAGUGGCUGUUUGAAUGUGCCUGGCAGGAAUCCUCACUAUCAGUAUCUGCAAUUUGGCAGUACGCCCAGAACCUUGUUUUGAGAACGAAAUAUAUCUCAGUUUCAAGGUCUCAGCUUAGAGGGAGGAAGCCUUGUGAGGUAUUUGUCAGUCAGGCAUUUGUCUGUAGGCAUUUAUAAGAGAAGUGUCUACGUGGUCUGCAGCCACUGGUAGAGAAUAUCAUAAAGUGCACUAGGUGCUACUCUAUAUGUAUAGUGAAGAUACAUAUGGUGCAUAGGAAGUAGCGACAAAGAAUCGUUGAAGAUGCAUAUUAAGUAAUAAGGGUGAUUACUGAGUGUGUUUGGGAAUAGUACUACGUGAAUGUGGAUGUGAAAGCUAUGUGAUUAUGAGAUGUGACAGAUUAAACUGAUUGAAAUUUGGAUAAUAAAAUAUUGACAUUUGCAUAAUAAGCUGAUUGAGACUUGGAUAAUAAGAGAUUGUAAUUUGAUGAUAAGCUGAUUGAAAUGUGGAUAAUAAACUGAUUGAAAUUUGAUAAGAGAUUGAAAUGUAGCUAUUAAAUGAGAGUGAAUAAGAGCUGUCAUGGGACUAGCUCCAGUGAGAAAGAUGAUUGAAUGGAUACCCCAACCAGUUCUG
rnacentral:lncRNA from 1 species